rnacentral:rRNA from 1 species
UACGGAGGGUGCAAGCGUUAUCCGGAUUCACUGGGUUUAAAGGGUGCGUAGGCGGGCAGGUAAGUCAGUGGUGAAAUCCCCGGGCUUAACUUGGGAACUGCCGUUGAUACUAUCUGUCUUGAAUAUCGUGGAGGUGAGCGGAAUAUGUCAUGUAGCGGUGAAAUGCUUAGAUAUGACAUAGAACACCCAUUGCGAAGGCAGCUCACUACACGAUAAUUGACGCUGAGGCACGAAAGCGUGGGGAUCAAACAGG